rnacentral:rRNA from 1 species
GAUGAACGCUGGCGGCGUGCCUAAUACAUGCAAGUCGAGCGGACGGACGAGAAGCUUGCGUCUCUGAUGUUAGCGGCGGGGGGGUGAGUAACACGUGGAUCACCUACCUAUAAGAGUGGGAUAACUUCGGGAAAGCGGAGCUAAUAGCGGAUAAUAUUUUGAACCGCGUGGUUCAAAAGUGAAAGACGGUGGUGGUGGCACUUAUAGAUGGAUCCGCGCUUCAUUAGAUAGUUGGUAAGGUAACGGGUUACCAAGGCAACGAUGCAUAGCCGACCUGAGAGGGUGAUAGGCCACACUGGAACUGGGACACGGUCCAGACUCCUAAGGGAGGCAGCAGUAGGCAAUCUGACGCAGAGGGCGAAAGUAUGACGGAGUAACGCCGCGCGUGUGAUGAAGGUCUUCGGAUCGUAAAAAUCUGUUACUAGGGAAGAACAUAUGUGUAAGUAACUGUGCACAUCUUGACGGUACCUAAUCAGAAAGCCACGGCUAACUACGUG